CGUGUAUAAAGCCAUCAUAUUUCCACAUGUAAAUGUGUGAAUUAAGGGUGUUGUCAGAAAGGUGUGUUAGAAGAGUUUCUUUGUUGUGUUGAGAAAGAGGUAAAAUGAGUAACGUCCAGAUGCUGAGAGCGUUGGUGGAGCAGCGACUAACUGCGGCUGCUGAAGAGAUAUUUGGGCUGUUUGAAAGAACGAUAGUAGAGUACGAGGAGGAACUUUGUCGUUCAAAAGAGGAGAACAAGCGACAACGGGAACUACUGGACUCUGUUUUCAACCCUCAGCUUCGGUUACACAGAGCAGGUUU